rnacentral:rRNA from 1 species
AGUGAACGCUGGCGGUAGGCCUAACACAUGCAAGUCGAACGGCAGCACAAUAAGAGCGUGCCCUUACGGGUGGCGAGUGGCGGGCGGGUGAGGAAUACAUCGCAAUCUACUUUUUCGGGGGGGAUAUCGUAGGGAAACUUACGCUAAUACCGCAUACGACCAACGGCUGGAAGCAGUGGAGCUUCGGACCUUGCGCGACAGAAUGAGACGAUGUCGGAUUAGCUAGUUGGCGGGGUAAAGGCCCACCAAGGCGACGAUCCGUAGCUGGCCUGAGAGGAUGAUCGGCCACACUGGAACUGAGACACGGUCCAGACUCCUACGGGAGGCAGCAGUGGGGAAUCUUGCACAAUGGGCGCAAGCCUGACCCAGCAAUACCGCGUGGGUGAAGAAGGCCUUCGGGUUGUAAAGCCCUUUUAUUGGGAAAGAAAAGCAGCGGGUUAAUACCCCGCUGUUCUGACGGUACCCAAAGAAUAAGCCCCGGCUAACUUCGUG